GGAAUUCUGAGAACUAAUUUGCUAUUCGGUGACAUAAGAGGGGGAGUGCGCUUUGCUUUCCUGGGGUCUGGGGCUAAUUCCUCCUCUCUUACCCAUAAACUCAGCUCCUGGAGCUAAAUUACACGAAAGGGAGCGAGAGAUUCGAACCGUUGGGAAAAGCCUGUUAUAUAUACUAGGUUUAGAAGCGAAUUAGAGAAAAAACAAACACCACAGUUCUUUGCAGCUAGAAUAGUAGGCACCACGAGAAAAAUAUUUGCCAAGCAGUUUUCGAAGCCUAUCUGAAGCCGGCUUGAUGGCAGGGAGAGCUGGAGAGCGGAAGAAUGUGCAGCGGGAGGGAGUGCUUGGUACUUUUCCAUUCACAUCUCCACAGUGGCUUUUCUUGUUUAUUUCAGCCUCCACCCGCAGGAACCUUUCUGCUGCUUGAAAUUCGAGUCAUUAAACUGUUCCCUGUGGUCAGACUACA